rnacentral:rRNA from 1 species
GAUCCUGGCUCAGGAUGAACGCUAGCUACAGGCUUAACACAUGCAAGUCGAGGGGCAUCAGUUUGGUUUGCUUGCAAACCAAAGCUGGCGACCGGCGCACGGGUGAGUAACACGUAUCCAACCUGCCUCAUACUCGGGGGAUAGCCUUUCGAAAGAAAGAUUAAUAUCCGAUAGCAUAUAUUUCCCGCUAUGGGGUUUUAUAUUAAAGAAAUUCGGUAUGAGAUGGGGAUGCGUUCCAUUAGUUUGUUGG